rnacentral:lncRNA from 1 species
CACACACUCCACGUAUCAUCACAGAAAGAGACUGACUCACACACUCCACGUAUCAUCACAGAAAGAGACUGACUCACUCACACACUCCACGUAUCAUCACAGAAAGAGACUGGCUCACUCACACACUCCACAUAUCAUCACAGAAAGAGACUGGCUCACUCACACACUCCACGUAUCAUCACAGAAAGAGACUGACUCACUCACACACUCCACGUAUCAUCACAGAAAGGGACUGUCUCACUCACACACUCCACGUAUCAUCACAGAAAGAGACUGACUCACUCACACACUCCACGUAUCAUCACAGAAAGGGACUGUCUCACUCACACACUCCACGUAUCAUCACAGAAAGAGACUGACUCACUCACACACUCCACGUAUCAACACAGAAAGAGACUGUCUCACACACUCCACGUAUCAUCACAGAAAGAGACUGGCUCACUCACACACUCCACGUAUCAUCACAGAAAGAGACUGGCUCACUCACACACUCCACGUAUCAUCACAGAAAGAGACUGACUCACUCACACACUCCACGUAUCAUCACAGAAAGAGACUGACUCACACACUCCACGUAUCAUCACAGAAAGAGACUGACUCACACACUCCACGUAUCAUCACAGAAAGAGACUGGCUCACACACUCCACGUAUCAUCACAGAAAGAGACUGACUCACUCACACACUCCACGUAUUCUCACAGAACGAGACUGACUCACUCACACACUCCACGUAUCAUCACAGAAAGAGACUCACUCACACACUCCACGUAUCAUCACAGAAAGAGACUGACUCACACACUCCACGUAUCAUCACAGAAAGAGACUGACUCACUCACACACUCCACGUAUCAUCACAGAAAGAGACUGACUCACACACUCCACGUAUCAUCACAGAAAGAGACUGACUCACACACUCCACGUAUCAUCACAGAAAGAGACUGACUCACUCACACACUCCACGUAUCAUCACAGAAAGAGACUGGCUCACUCACACACUCCACGUAUCAUCACAGAAAGAGACUGGCUCACUCACACACUCCAUGUAUCAUCACAGAAAGAGACUGGCUCACUCACACACUCCACGUAUCAUCACAGAAAGAUAUUGACUCACUCACACACUCCACGUAUCAUCACAGAAAGAGACUGGCUCACACACUCCACGUAUCAUCACAGAAAGAGACUGUCUCACUCACACACUCCACGUAUCAUCACAGAAAGAGACUGGCUCACUCACACACUCCACGUAUCAUCACAGAAAGAGACUGACUCACUCACACACUCCACGUAUCAUCACAGAAAGAGACUGACUCACUCACACACUCCACGUAUCAUCACAGAAAGAGACUGACUCACACACUCCACGUAUCAUCACAGAAAGAGACUGACUCACUCACACACUCCACGUAUCA